GAUGAACGCUGGCGGCGUGCUUAACACAUGCAAGUCGAACGGAAAGGCUCCUGCUUGCAGGGGUACUCGAGUGGCGAACGGGUGGGUAACACGUGGGUGAUCUGCCCUGCACUUCGGGAUAAGCCUGGGAAACUGGGUCUAAUACCGGAUAGGACGAUGGUUUGGAUGCCAUUGUGGAAAGUUUUUCGGUGUGGGAUGAGCUCGCGGCCUAUCAGCUUGUUGGUGGGGUAAUGGCCUACCAAGGCGUCGACGGGUAGCCGGCCUGAGAGGGUGUACGGCCACAUUGGGACUGAGAUACGGCCCAGACUCCUACGGGAGGCAGCAGUGGGGAAUAUUGCACAAUGGGCGCAAGCCUGAUGCAGCGACGCCGCGUGGGGGAGGACGGCCUUCGGGUUGUAAACUCCUUUCGCUAGGGACGAAGCGUUUUGUGACGGUACCUGGAGAAGAAGCACCGGCUAACUACGUG
rnacentral:rRNA from 1 species